rnacentral:rRNA from 1 species
CCUACGGGUGGCAGCAGUGGGGAAUAUUGGACAAUGGGGGCAACCCUGAUCCAGCCAUGCCGCGUGUGUGAAGAAGGCCCUCGGGUUGUAAAGCACUUUCAGUGAGGAAGAACGCCUGGUGGUUAAUACCCAUCAGGAAAGACAUCACUCACAGAAGAAGCACCGGCUAACUCCGUGCCAGCAGCCGCGGUAAUACGGAGGGUGCGAGCGUUAAUCGGAAUUACUGGGCGUAAAGCGCGCGUAGGUGGCUUGAUAAGCCGGUUGUGAAAGCCCCGGGCUCAACCUGGGAACGGCAUCCGGAACUGUCAAGCUAGAGUGCAGGAGAGGAAGGUAGAAUUCCCGGUGUAGCGGUGAAAUGCGUAGAGAUCGGGAGGAAUACCAGUGGCGAAGGCGGCCUUCUGGACUGAAACUGACACUGAGGUGCGAAAGCGUGGGUAGCAAACAGGAUUAGAUACCCUUGUAGUC